AGGGUUUGAUCCUGGCUCAGAGUGAACGCUGGCGGCAGGCCUAACACAUGCAAGUCGAGCGGCAGCGCGUCCGACCACCCUCGGGUGGUCGGAUGGCGGCGAGCGGCGGACGGGUGAGGAAUGCAUCGGAAUCUGCCUCGUUGUGGGGGAUAACGUAGGGGAACUUACGCUAAUACCGCAUACGACCUACGGGUGAAAGUGGGGGACCUUCGGGCCUCACGCGAUGAGAUGAGCCGAUGCCGGAUUAGCUAGUUGGCGGGGUAAAGGCCCACCAAGGCGACGAUCCGUAGCUGGUCUGAGAGGAUGAUCAGCCACACUGGAACUGAGACACGGUCCAGACUCCUACGGGAGGCAACAGUGGGGAAUAUUGGACAAUGGGGGCAACCCUGAUCCAGCCAUGCCGCGUGUGUGAAGAAGGCCUUCGGGUUGUAAAGCACUUUUGCUGGGGAAGAAACCGGCCGGGUUAAUACCCUGGUUGAAUGACGGUACCCAAAGAAUAAGCACCGGCUAACUUCGUGCCAGCAGCCGCGGUAAUACGAAGGGUGCAAGCGUUACUCGGAAUUACUGGGCGUAAAGCGUGCGUAGGCGGUUUGUUAAGUCUGCUGUGAAAGCCCUGGGCUCAACCUGGGAACUGCAGUGGAUACUGGCGAGCUAGAGUGUGUCAGAGGAUGGUGGAAUUCCCGGUGUAGCGGUGAAAUGCGUAGAGAUCGGGAGGAACACCAGUGGCGAAGGCGGCCAUCUGGGACAACACUGACGCUGAGGCACGAAAGCGUGGGGAGCAAACAGGAUUAGAUACCCUGGUAGUCCACGCCCUAAACGAUGCGAACUGGACGUUGGGCACACUUAGGUGCUCAGUGUCGAAGCUAACGCGUUAAGUUCGCCGCCUGGGGAGUACGGUCGCAAGACUGAAACUCAAAGGAAUUGACGGGGGCCCGCACAAGCGGUGGAGUAUGUGGUUUAAUUCGAUGCAACGCGAAGAACCUUACCUGGCCUUGACAUGCACGGAACUUUCCAGAGAUGGAUUGGUGCCUUCGGGAACCGUGACACAGGUGCUGCAUGGCUGUCGUCAGCUCGUGUCGUGAGAUGUUAGGUUAAGUCCGGCAACGAGCGCAACCCACACUUUCAGUUGCCAUCAUUCAGUUGGGCACUCUGGAAGAACUGCCGGUGAUAAGCCGGAGGAAGGUGUGGAUGACGUCAAGUCCUCAUGGCCCUUACGGGUUGGGCUACACACGUGCUACAAUGGUGGUGACAAUGGGUUAAUCCCCAAAAGCCAUCUCAGUUCGGAUUGGGGUCUGCAACUCGACCCCAUGAAGUCGGAAUCGCUAGUAAUCGCGUAACAGCAUGACGCGGUGAAUACGUUCCCGGGCCUUGUACACACCGCCCGUCACACCAUGGGAAUUGGGUCUACCCGACGACGGUGCGCCAACCUCGCAAGAGGAAGCAGCCGGCCACGGUAGGCUCAGUGACUGGGGUGAAGUCGUAACAAGGUAACC
rnacentral:rRNA from 1 species